GGUUAAGGAUAGUUCGAAGCGCCUUUUAUGUUUCUUCUGUAAAGAACAGUCACCGGCGAACGAUUGGCUUUUACAUGUUUCUGCUCGAAUUUACCGUGAGUGUAUUCUCGUGUGCAACUCGGGUUGUUGGUCUGGGUUCAACGGAUCUCUUAGUGACGAGAUAUUCUCGCUAUUUUUGUACCGUGAGCGCAGGCCCUCACACAGCUCGCGAGGAAUGGAGCCGGCUGGAUUUGCAUUACAUUAGUCGGUGGCGGUCUCUCGAACACCCUACGACGACGGUGCGUCGAUCGCCGAUUUGCAAAUUACGGUCUCCACGUGUUUUCCAUGACGGCAUAUUGUGUUUUACUCCUGUGUUUUUGUUAAAUAGUCCGCUUUUGCAACGAUGCUCAAAGCUCAUAUCCGUGUUGUGACUGUGUUUACUCCUAUACUUUGAUAACGACUUAUUUGUCAGCUACGGCCGAACGUGCAUCUGAGGAAGGAAAAAUGCAGGAGUACGCAAAAAUUUGUUUGCUGGUCUCCGUCUUUGCCGCCGUGAGAGAAUUCCGACCUAUAGAACCAUUCUUCACUGCUUUCUUAACGAGUCCUGCUGCAAACUUAACAAAUCAAGAUGUAAGUUGAAUUCCAAGGAUUUUGCAACGGCUCGUAGCUGCAUGCUUUUUUACUCGAUUACUGACUUUUUUUAUCGAUGCGUUUUAAACUCUUAUUCAUUACCUGAUGUUUUUAGUGCAUUGUUGG
rnacentral:lncRNA from 1 species